rnacentral:rRNA from 1 species
UACAGAGGGUGCGAGCGUUGUCCGGAAUCACUGGGCGUAAAGGGCGCGUAGGUGGUGACCUAAGCGUGCGGUGAAAGCCCGAGGCUCAACCUCGGGUCGGCCGUGCGAACUGGGUCACUGGAGCAGAAUAGAGGCAGGUGGAAUUCCGGGUGUAGCGGUGGAAUGCGUAGAGAUCGGGAGGAACACCGGUGGCGAAGGCGGCCUUCUGGACGGUGACUGACGCUGAGGCGCGAAAGCGUGGGGAGCAAACGGG